rfam:Lepisosteus oculatus unplaced genomic scaffold TNK68, whole genome shotgun sequence.
GGGCCAGUAGUGUAAUGGAUAACAUGUCUGACUUCAGAUCAGAAAAUUGUAGGUUUGAGUCCUACCUGGCUCG